CAGCAGCCACGGUAAGACAGAGGAUGCAAGCGUUAAUCGGAUUUACUGGGCGUAAAGCGUGCGUAGGCGGCUUCUUAAGUCGGAUGUGAAAUCCCUGAGCUUAACUUAGGAAUUGCAUUCGAUACUGGGAAGCUAGAGUAUGGGAGAGGAUGGUAGAAUUCCAGGUGUAGCGGUGAAAUGCGUAGAGAUCUGGAGGAAUACCGAUGGCGAAGGCAGCCAUCUGGCCUAAUACUGACGCUGAGGUACGAAAGCAUGGGGAGCAAACAGGAUUAGAUACCCCAGUAGUCCCUGUCUCUUAUAA
rnacentral:rRNA from 1 species